UACGUAGGUGGCAAGCGUUGUUCGGAAUUAUUGGGCGUAAAGGGUGAGUAGGCGGUUUGUUAAGUCGGUCGUGAAAGCCCGGGGCUCAACCCCGGAGGGUCGACCGAUACUGGCAGGCUAGAGUACAGAAGAGGUAACUGGAAUUCCUGGUGUAGCGGUGAAAUGCGCAGAUAUCAGGAGGAACACCAAUGGCGAAGGCGGCUUCCUGGCCUGUUCUUGACGCUGAGGCGCGAAAGCUAGGGGAGCAAACGGG
rnacentral:rRNA from 1 species